AACAUGCUCCUGAAUGACUUUUUAAUAAAUAAUGAAAUUAAGGCAGAAAUCAAGAAGCUCUUUGAAAAUAAUGAGAACAAAGUUACAACAUACUAGAGCCUCUGGACACAGCUAAGACAAUGUUAGGAGGGAAAUUUAUAGCACUAAAUCCCACAUCAAAAAGUUAGGAAGAACUCAAAUUAAUAACCUAACAUCACAACUGAAAGAACUAGAGAAGCAAGACAAAACCCCAAAGCUAGAGGAAGACAAGAAAUAACUGAAAAUCUGAGCUGAACUGAAAGAAACCGAGACAUGAAAAAAAGAAAUUCAAAAGAUCUAUGAAUUCCGGACACUACCCAAAGCAGUGCUUCACUACAGUGGCAGACAGACCUGAAAAUUUUCAUCUGAAGCAGCAGAGUGAACUGCAGAGGCAGGUCACCAACCAGUGUGGAGGCUAAAAGCGGGCCUCUUUGGGGAUUCCAGGUGGAAGUGUUGGACAUCUGUAGUAUUCCUGGUCUCGAAUCAUCCUGAUAUUCUUCAUUUUGUUAUUCACAUUGGACUAGGAGAUAGAAUCUCACUAUGUUGACCAGGCUGGUCUUGAACUCUUGGCACCCAAGCGAUCCUUUUGCCUGGAAUCCCAAAGUGUCAGAUUUACUGAAGAAUAUUUCAUUGUAAUUACUUUUUAUACUUUAUAGGUCAAGAGCUCUGUUUUAAAUACAAAAUUUAUUGAAUAUACUUUUUCAAACAAAGUUUCAUGUUCUAAUCAUUGUCUGAUUUCAGCAUUAAAUGAAACACAGUAAAGAAA
rnacentral:lncRNA from 1 species